GAUGGACGCUGGCGGCGUGCCUAAUACAUGCAAGUCGAGCGAACGGACGAGAAGCUUGCUUCUCUGAUGUUAGCGGCGGACGGGUGAGUAACACGUGGAUAACCUACCUAUAAGACUGGGAUAACUUCGGGAAACCGGAGCUAAUACCGGAUAAUAUUUUGAACCGCAUGGUUCAAAAGUGAAAGACGGUCUUGCUGUCACUUAUAGAUGGAUCCGCGCUGCAUUAGCUAGUUGGUAAGGUAACGGCUUACCAAGGCAACGAUGCAUAGCCGACCUGAGAGGGUGAUCGGCCACACUGGAACUGAGACACGGUCCAGACUCCUACGGGAGGCAGCAGUAGGGAAUCUUGCGCAAUGGGCGAAAGCCUGACGGAGCAACGCCGCGUGAGUGAUGAAGGUCUUCGGAUCGUAAAACUCUGUUAUUAGGGAAGAACAUAUGUGUAAGUAACUGUGCACAUCUUGACGGUACCUAAUCAGAAAGCCACGGCUAACUCCGUG
rnacentral:rRNA from 1 species